ensembl:lncRNA
GUGUCCAUUGGGACCGCUGACCGACACGCACGAGGCCUAUCAGCGACGGGACGAGGUCAAGGGUUAACGAGGCCCGCUGAGGAGGAUGCCAUACAUUGGCCACGCAGUCAGUGGGGGUUUCUGGGUAAUAAGUUGGCGAAGAAACCACCAGCGUAGUGCAGAGUGCAAGUCGAGCGAUCCAGCGCCACGGGCGUGAUAACGGGCUGCAGGUCAAGGUUCAUCGCGUCGACAGAAAAGGAGCCUUUGAUGAGUUGGUGACGGAUCAUCUCGGGGGAACCGGAGUGAACACGUUGGAGAUGAAUCAAAUAAAACCAAAUGAGGUGAUGAACAUACGCGGCUCUGACAUGGCGCUUGCUGUAGAAUCGGAUGUGUGUGGAAAUGUUUCAAAGGCUUUUCAAAGGACGAGGAAUCCAACAGGACGUCGUCGCUCAUCUGCUACACGGAGUUAUCCUCGAUGAUGGAAGUUAGAUUUGAUUUAAUGAAACGCGCUGGAUCUCUUUAUUCAAAUUGAGGAUUAGGUUGUUGAAGGAUUUAUGCGAUGGAAUUGUUUUUCUGGGGGGGGAGGAUUCAGCCUGACAACCACCAGCUGAGACACACAUUUCUCUCGUGUGGACAUGUUGCAUUCUUUGUCUCCAUUCAUCACACAGAGGAGAUGAAGAUACUUCGGCGGAAAGCUUCCCAUUGGCUCCUCGUGUUCCAUUCCUCCACGCGACCUUCACGUGUCCUCAUUCCUCAGUGCCGGGGUGGAUCCAACACCUCCCCCAGCAUCACCUGGAUGGGAGCAGAGACGGCCUG